CCUAAGACCAAAGAGGGAGUGUUUAAAUCGAUUACUCCUCUCACUCAAUUUUGGAUACAUUUUUCCCGAUUUUUAAAUUGAUUACUCCUCUCACUCAAUUUUGGAUUUAGAAAAUUGGAAUCGCUGAGUUUGUUGCUACGUUUUGGUUCAUGUACAUCAUUGUUUUGACUGUUAUGGGUGUUAAGAGGUCACCGAGCAUGUGUGCUUCCGUCGGGAUUCAAGGAGUUGCUUGGACUUUCGGUGGUAUGAUCUUCGUUCUCAUCUCUACACCGCCGAUAUCUUCGGCCAAUGAAAAAUCGAGUACCAGAAAAAUGUUGAAAUUGAUUGUGCGAAGAAACGACGCAGUCACUCAGAUUCAUUAGAGAGAGCCAAAGCAGUGGAACUUGGAGAGAAGAAAAGGAAAGAAGAAGAAAAGAAAGAGAAAGUAGAAGUUGAAUAAAAGCCGUUAGAAUAAGAAGCAGCAACCAAGUUUUAAGAUGAGCUAAUGGAGAUGAAAGAGAGACUGGGAAAAAUCGAAGAGACAAUAAUAGAGAUUGUUUUAAAAUCAGAGAGACCCUCAGGCCUUCAGGGAAUGCUCCAACCAAAACCUUCAAAGAACAUUCUCUAAACAACUUAUUUUAUGAAGAUUAGUUAUUUUAAUGUAUGUAAUCUAGAUUAUGUAUGUUAUGUAUAAUUCCAAUUAAUUAAAUUUUGCAAA